AAGGCAUUGGCUCAAUGGUAGAGCAACAAUUUUAUACUCGAAAGUUUAGGUGUUCAAGUCACCUGUUCCUUA
rfam:Rhynchosporium commune strain TK7 genome assembly, contig: RCO7_scaffold064